UACGAAGGGGGCUAGCGUUGUUCGGAAUCACUGGGCGUAAAGGGUGCGUAGGCGGCUUUUCAAGUCGGGGGUGAAAGCCUGUGGCUCAACCACAGAAUUGCCUUCGAUACUGUUAGGCUUGAGACCGGAAGAGGUGAGUGGAACUGCGAGUGUAGAGGUGAAAUUCGUAGAUAUUCGCAAGAACACCAGUGGCGAAGGCGGCUCACUGGUCCGGUACUGACGCUGAGGCGCGAAAGCGUGGGGAGCAAACAGG
rnacentral:rRNA from 1 species